UACGUAGGGUGCGAGCGUUGUCCGGAAUUAUUGGGCGUAAAGAGCUUGUAGGCGGGUUGUCGCGUCUGCCGUGAAAAUUCGAGGCUCAACCUCGAACUUGCGGUGGGUACGGGCAGACUAGAGUGUGGUAGGGGAGACUGGAAUUCCUGGUGUAGCGGUGAAAUGCGCAGAUAUCAGGAGGAACACCGAUGGCGAAGGCGGAUCUCUGGGCCGAUACUGACGCUGAGGAGCGAAAGCGUGGGGAGCGAACAGG
rnacentral:rRNA from 1 species